rnacentral:rRNA from 1 species
CAGUAGCCGCGGGAAUACGUAGGGAGCGAGCGUUGUCCGGAAUUACUGGGCGUAAAGAGCUCGUAGGCGGGACCGUAAGUCCAAGAGGAAAUCUCAAGGCUCAACUUUGGGGCUUUCUUGGAUACUGCGGUUCUUGAGGAUAUCAGAGGAAAGUAGAAUUCCCGGUGUAGCGGUGAAAUGCGUAGAUAUCGGGAGGAAUACCAGUGGCGAAGGCGACUUUCUGGGAUAUUCCUGACGCUGAGGAGCGAAAGCGUGGGGAGCAAACGGGAUUAGAUACCCCCGUAGUCCCUGUCUCUUAUAC